GAUGAACGCUGGCGGCGUGCUUAACACAUGCAAGUCGAACGAGAAGUGAAGACGGAAACCUUCGGGCGGAAGGCUUUAUUUCGAGUGGCGGACGGGUGAGUAACGCGUGGGUAACCUGCCUCAUACAGGGGGAUAACAGUUGGAAACGACUGUUAAUACCGCAUAAGACCACAGCACCGCAUGGUGCGGGGGUAAAAACUCCGGUGGUAUGAGAUGGACCCGCGUUCGAUUAGCCAGUUGGCGGGGUAACGGCCCACCAAAGCGACGAUCGAUAGCCGAUCUGAGAGGAUGACCGGCCACAUUGGGACUGAGACACGGCCCAAACUCCUACGGGAGGCAGCAGUGGGGAAUAGUGCACAAUGGGGGAAACCCUGAUGCAGCGACGCCGCGUGAGUGAAGAAGUAGUUCGGUAUGUAAAGCUCUAUCAGCAGGGAAGAAAAUGACGGUACCUGAGGAAGAAGCCCCGGCUAACUACGUG
rnacentral:rRNA from 1 species